rnacentral:rRNA from 1 species
AACGCUAGCUACAGGCUUAACACAUGCAAGUCGAGGGGCAUCAGGAACAAAGCUUGCUUUGUUUGCUGGCGACCGGCGCACGGGUGAGUAACGCGUAUCCGACCUACCCAUAACUCGGGCACAGCCGCUCGAAAGAGCGAUUGAUUCCCGAUAUGUCCUUGGAGUAGAUUCAAUGAUGAAAGAUUCAUCGGUUAUGGAUGGGGAUGCGUAAGAUUAGGUAGUAGGCGGGGUAACGGCCCACCUAGCCGACGAUCUUUAGGGGUUCUGAGAGGAAGGUCCCCCACACUGGUACUGAGACACGGACCAGACUCCUACGGGAGGCAGCAGUGAGGAAUAUUGGUCAAUGGGCGGAAGCCUGAACCAGCCAAGUAGCGUGAAGGAUUACAGCCCUACGGGUUUUAAACUUCUUUUAUAUAAGAGUAAUGUGCACUACGUGUAGUGUAUUGCAAGUAUUAUAUGAAUAAGCAUCGGCUAACUCCGUGCCAGCAGCCGCGGUAAUACGGAGGAUGCGAGCGUUAUCCGGAUUUAUUGGGUUUAAAGGGAGCGUAGGCGGGAUAUUAAGUCAGUCGUCAAAGCCUGUGGCUCAACCACAGCCCGCGAUUGAUACUGGUAACCUUGAGUGCGGAUGAGGUGGAUGGAAUUCGUGGUGUAGCGGUGAAAUGCUUAGAUAUCACGAAGAACUCCGAUUG